CACAAUGUGUACACACGUAAUGUAAUGAAGACAAAGACAACCACCACCUGUGUGCCAUCCUCUCGGAUUAAGGAGCAUCAAGAGCCGUGGUUUCUCCAGUGUGCCCUCCAUCUGCCCCCAGCACCCAGAGGCCCAGCGCUGGCACUGACUGUGUACGGACACUUCCCGAGGAACACCAUUACUCAGCGGUUCCCAGUUUCAACACCAUGAAGGUGGCCGACAGCAGCAGGUGGGACCUGACUCUUGAAGCAGGGAAGUUCUCCGUUAGAAGGAAGAAUCUACGGAAGAUACCAGGCACAUUCCCAAGAGAGCAGACGUUGUGGCCAGUGGAGUGAAAGUGGGCUGCAUAUGAGUUAAAACUGUUGAUACUCUGAACACCCUGAGUAGGUAUUUCUGCCAGAUGGUGUCCUAACAAAACUCUUAAAUGAAACACUGAAUGAAGUGGAGAAAUGGCCCUGUUUAAUAGAGGUUCAUUGCUGACGGUUAACUCUGUGACUACAUUAUAGCAGUGGGGCUGUUGUCUAAAAGUGAAAAUGAAAGAAAACAAAGACACAUAAGCUCAGAGCAGGAUGUGGCCGGACGAUCAGAGUUUGUCCAUCUGCCUUCUUCACCGAGAAGAAUGCAGAACAGUGGUAACUGUAAGUGGUGAUGGUGGAUGUAAUUUUUCUGUUCCUGACUCUGUGUGGAUGAAAUGAGAGUUUCUGUGGCCAGGAUUCUCACCUGGCCUUGGUUGACUAACUCACUGCACACCUGUGGGCAAUACAUGGCUG